rnacentral:rRNA from 1 species
CCUACGGGAGGCAGCAGUAGGGAAUAUUGGGCAAUGGGUGAGAGCCUGACCCAGCCAUGCCGCGUGCAGGAAGACGGCCUUAUGGGUUGUAAACUGCUUUUGUAAGGGAAGAAAAAAGAGCUUGCGAGCUCUCCUGACGGUACCUUACGAAUAAGCACCGGCUAACUCCGUGCCAGCAGCCGCGGUAAUACGGAGGGUGCAAGCGUUGUCCGGAUUCAUUGGGUUUAAAGGGUACGUAGGCGGAUGCUUAAGUCAGUGGUGAAAGCCUGCGGCUCAACCGUAGAAUUGCCAUUGAUACUGAGUAUCUUGAGUGCAGUAGAGGUGGGCGGAAUUCAUGGUGUAGCGGUGAAAUGCAUAGAUACCAUGAGGAACACCGAUAGGGAAGCCAGCUCACUGGACUGUAACUGACGCUGAGGUACGAAAGCGUGGGGAGCGAACAG